rnacentral:pre_miRNA from 1 species
UUAGUAGAGUGGAAUGCCAAGCAAAUAUUUCAACGCUUCAAUAUAUUUCAUCACUGU